rnacentral:rRNA from 1 species
UACGUAGGGGGCAAGCGUUGUCCGGAUUUACUGGGCGUAAAGAGCGCGUAGGCGGAAAUUUAAGCGUGGCCUGAAAGCCCCCGGCUCAACCGGGGAGUGCGGCUGCGAACUGGGUUUCUUGAGGACGAUAGAGGAGAGUGGAAUUCCUGGUGUAGCGGUGAAAUGCGUAGAUAUCAGGAGGAACACCCGAGGUGAAGACGGGUUGCUGGGCUGACACUGACGCUGAGGCGCGAAAGCUAGGGUAGCAAACGGG